GGCGAAAGCCUUUAAAACCCGAUGCCCUAAACUUUGAUUGGUUGGGAGUCAUCGAUCCUCUACUUGCUACAUAGGUGAAUUGGUUAAGUUUAGUGAGUAAAAAGAAUUGUGAAUAAGAAGGUGCGUUCCUAACCUAUUAAGAGUUGGUUAAUUUUGCCAAAGUUCGAGAAAAGCUUAGGUUGGGGGGAGAGGAUAGUUGUACAUACUAUAUCCGGAAGCUAAUCUCAUUAACACUUAGCUCAUUAUGGAAGAGUUUGAUCCGGAACCUUGAGAGUAGAGAUUCUUUUGAUACUUAAUUGCACAAUCUCCACUCUUUGUACUUUUUGUUUAAGUUUUAGCUUUGACAACUCCUAUUGCAUUUUGAAUCUUCAUAUCUUUAGUUCACCAUGUGAGAUGUGUUUUGAUAUCAGUCAUGCCACUCAAUUAUUUUUUGGAGUGAUUUGCAUGACCUCUUUUAUGUAUAUUAUUAUGUUUGCUUAGUUUUUAUCUCCUCCAUUGCUAAGGGAC
rnacentral:lncRNA from 1 species